UGCCUCCGCGGGCUUCCGUCUUCUUUUCUGAGCUCCGAGUUCGCCCUCGCCUCUCCCUCGCAGACACGGUCACACACAGCCACAGAACCGUGUGCCACGAUGAACGUGAGCUUUCUCUUCAGCCUCCCCCGCAGCCUGGCGGAGUUCAAGGGAGCGGGGAAGCUGCUGGCGGACGCGGCUGCGCUCCCUUUGGGGGAGCGCGGUGCGAAGGGCGACGUGGCGGUGCCUGGGCUGUUCUGCGGGUGCGACCCGGAGGACAGGCCGCUGGGCUCCGGCGGUGGCACGGUGCACCUGCUGCACGCGUGCUACGUGGACGAGCAGCGCCACGCACCUGCGUCCGCGAAGAGGUCGUUUCUGUCGUGGCUGCGGCUGGCGGACAACGAUGGCCGCGUGAUUGUGCACGCUGGCGGCCUGAGCCGCCGCCUGCCGGCGUACGCGGCGAUGGGCAAGGCGCUGCUGCCGCUGCCGCCGUGCCGGUGGCACCGUGGCAGCCAGCUGUCUCGCACGCUGCUCUCGACGCAGGUGCCGAUGUACCGGGGGAUAGUGACGACGGCGCCGGCCCGCCUGCGCACGCUGAUUGCGUGCGGUGACGUGUGCGUGGAUGCGAGGGGCGCGCUGCCGUCGCUUGCGCCGUUCGCGGACAGUGACGUGCUGUGCUUCGGCAUUCGCGCAGACGCGGACCUCUUGCAGAACCACGGCGUGCUCUUCAUGGCACGCGAGAGGCCACUCGACCUGGACUACAUGCUGCAGAAGCCGUCGCUGGACGAGGUCCGCCGGCGCGUGGCGGAGGGCAGGCACUCGGUUCUUCUGGACGUGGGCAUGUGGAUGCUGAGCGACCGCGCGGUGGAGGUGCUGGCUCGCAAGUGUCUGGGCGGUGCGCUGGACGCGGAGGACGCGACCGGCGGCGGGCACGACGGGCACCGCUGCACGGCGGUGCGCACCGCGUACGACCUGUACUCGGAGUUCGGUUCUGCGCUGGGCAACCACGCGCCGAGCGCGGACCCGGAGAUCGCGGGGCUGAAGGCGAGCGUUGUGGAGCUGCGCGACGCCGAGUUCCUGCAUUACGGGACGAACCGGCAGCUGAUCUCGGCGGCGGCGACGCUGCAGGGGCGCGAGUCGCCGACGCCGCCGUGGUCGUGGGCCGCGCCGUUCGACGGCGUGCUUGCGCCUGCGGGCGGCGCGACGGAGGAGCUGGACUUUGCUGCUGGUGACGCGAUGCCGCUGCUUGCGACGCCGUCGUCUGUGAUUGUGCAGAACUCCGUGGUGCUUGCGCCGCUGGACGGGUCCGCUGCGGCCGCUGCUGCGGAUGCGCCGGCCGGUGCGCCGCUGUCGCCUGUGCGGCAUCUGUGGGUGGAGAGCAGCUGGGUGGGCGCGCGGUGGGUGCUGCGGGACCAGCACAUCCUGACGGGGAUCCCGCGCAACGACUGGGCGCUCGCGCUGCCGCCCGGCGCGUGCGUGAGCGUCGUGCCUGUGCUGCCCGCUGCGCUUGGCGGCUGCGGGGGCGGUGCCGCGCCGCACGCUGCGCGGCCGUACCACAUGGACGACGCGUUCCGCGGCGACGUGCGCAGCGGCUCGACGAUGUACAUGGGUGUGCGCCUGCACGACUGGCUGUCGAGCCGCGGGUUCAGCGUAGCGGAGCUGUACCCUGCUGCGCGUGCUGCGGACGGCGGUGCUGCGCAGCCGCUGGACAUCAACGAGGCUGCGCUGUUCCCGGUGUGCGCGACGGAGCAGCAGCUCGGCGACUUCCUGUACGUUGCGACGCUGCCGCUGGAGGCUGCGACCGGCGGCUGCGCUGGCGCGGACGCUGCGCGGCUUGCCGCUGGGCAGGCUGUGUGGCGGACGCAGCCGCGCGUGUCUGCGAUGGACCUGCUGCGGCUGACGGACGUGCCUGCGAUGCUGCGCAACAGCGAGUACUACGAGCGGCGCAUGCUGACGCUGAUGCUUGCGCUUGUGGCGUCUGACCCCGCGGUGCUGUGUGCGCGGUCGCUGGUGCUGUCUGGCCCGAUGAUUGCGCUGCUGCAACAGCAGUUCUUCCUGCUGGACCUGAACCGCGUGGCCCAGCGCGUCGUGGAGCUGGGCGUGCCGCUGCCGCGGCGCAGCGGGCCGACGGAGUGGUGGGGCGGCGUGGACGCAGCUGGGAACGCGGUGGCGCUGUCGCGCCAGGCGGCCCCGGCGGCGCCGCUUGCGAAGGGCGCGGCUGCGAGUGCGGGGAGCUGGGCGCAGAUGUUCUCGGACGAGGGCAGCCCGAGCGGUGGCGGCAGGGGUGCGCCGCUGUGCACUGCGCCUGGCCGCAUCGUGGCGGCGCACUACCACGCGUUUGCGAGCCGCCUGAUGGAGCUCGCGCUGGAGGCGAUGGAUGCCGCGGAGCCGCCGGUGUCUGCGGCGGAGAAGGCGCGGCGCCUCGCGCUGCUGCGUGCGCCGAGCGCGGAGGAGGCCCGCUCGCUGGUGGCUCUGCACGAUGCCGCCGCGCUGGCGGAGCUACGCGCGGCCAUCAUGGACUCCUUUCCCGACGAGCGCCACGACCCGGAGAUGGGCGUGCACCUUGACCAAAUCGUCUGGGGCCGCUGCCCCAUCCGCAUCGACGUGGCGGGGGCAUGGACGGAUACGCCGCCAUACGCGAUCCUGAGCGGCGGCAGCGUGAUCAACGUUGCCGUGGAGCUGAACGGGCAGCCGCCGGUGCAGGUGUACGUGCGUGUGCGCGAAGACCCGAUCAUCGUCAUGCACUCGAUCGACUCCGGCGAGCAGCUGAGCGUCUCGAGCUUCGACGAGAUCCGCACGUACGCGACGAUGCAGAACCCGUUCUCGAUCCCGAAGGCUGCGCUUGCGCUGUGCGGGUUCUUGCCCGAGUUCUGCGCGACGGAGUACGCGACGCUGCGGGAGCAGCUGGCUGCGCGGUUUGGCGGCCACGGGCUGGAGAUCUCGCUGUUUGUGGCGAUCCCGACGGGGUCCGGGCUGGGCACGAGCUCCAUCGUUGCCGGCACCGUGCUGCGGUCGCUGGCGGAGUUCUGCAAGCUGCCGUGGGACAACCACGAUGUGUGCCGCCGCGUGCUGCUGAUUGAGCAGAUGCUGACUGCUGGUGGCGGGUGGCAGGAUCAGUACGGCGGCCUGUUCGAGGGCCUGAAGCUUGUGCAGUGCGUGCCUGGGCUGCCGUGCCUGCCGACGGUGCGCUGGAUGCCGGACAGCGUGUACACGGACCCGAGGUUCGCCGCGUGCCACCUGCUGUACUACACGGGCAUCACUCGCAUGGCAAAGAGCAUUCUCGGCGAGAUUGUGCGCGAUGUCUUUCUGAACAAUGGCGCGACACUGCAGCUGCUGCGUGAGAUGGGUGGGCCCACCACUGCCGCGAUGUACGACGCGAUCACGGCGGGCAACUACAAGGGCUACGCGCGGCUUGUGCACCGGACGUGGGAGCAGAAGAAGCGGCUGGACGACGGCGUGUGCAACCCUGCCGUGCAGUCGAUCGUGGACGUUGUGGAGCCGUACGUGUGGGGUCUGACGCUGCCCGGCGCUGGCGGUGGCGGCUACAUGUACAUGUGCGCGAAGGACGAGGCGUGCGCUCGCCGGAUCCGCGAGCUGCUGACGGCGAACCCGCCGAACGGCAAUGCCCGCUUCGUGGAGAUGAGCGUGUCGGCGUCUGGCCUCCAGAUCAGUCGGUCUUAGAGGCGUGCGGCGGCGUGAGGCGCUGCUGAGGGGCGCCGGCGCAACGGUCCCCGAGAGACGCGCGCACGCGCACGUAGGCAAAUCCGGAAGGACGGCGGCUCACGGAAGACCCUCUCGCUGCUUAUACGGCAACCUCUCUAUGGAAAGACUGAGACAUUACCUCCUCUGGUGGACAUCUCUGAGUGAUUCCACGCAUUACUAACAGCGUGCACAGGGGCACGCAGCGCUAGCGUGCUGUUUUUUCUCAGUGUUGCCGAAUUCUAUCCGUCGGCCGCAGUAUCAGCGGAUGUUGAAGAACGCCGCGAGGCGGACUUCAUGUCGUCGGUGGAGGCAUGAGCAGAUGAUGAUGAGAAACCACGCAUGAGGAUGCGGGCGCAUGAUGAGCUGCAACUGCGAAUGAAGAGCGAAGAGGGCCGGACGAGUUCGGAAAUUGGUUUGGGGGCAGGUGUUGCUGCUGUGGGCCUCGUCGGGGGUGCUGAGGAGCACGUGCAAGCGGUUGUCGAAUGCAAGAGCGACGCGUGGAGGCGAAGAGUGAGAGCCAAGCAAAGGACAGAAAAAAAGACGCAGCGGCGUCAUUUUUGUGCUGUGCGCAUCCGCAGCUCGCUCUCGCUGGCCGCGUUGUUGUGUGGGCGUCUGCGUUUGUGUGCAUGUCGAUGGCCUCCGAGCCGCGGUAGUGCCACCGCCCCCGCGCCAGUCCCUCCGCUCAGCACGUUGGCGUUCGAAGGCAUCCGGAGUGAGUGCCAAGAGAAUGGAUCUCUGCUGCGCAAGGAAAGAAGAGGGUGCGGGAAAGCGUUUUAUUGGGUGCUCAAGAGAGGAGCGGGAUGCGGGCGCAUGUGCACCCACAUCCGUAUACACAUGCACUGCCGGUUUGGGGCCUCCCCUGGUGACUGGAGAGACACCGCUUGGCGUGGUGUCCAGUGCGCGGUGCCUCGCUCCGUAUGGGGAGACCCAGCAGCAGCCCUCACCCCCAUCCCUGCCGAACGCCGCACCACCUCCGGCGGUGACAGGCUCAGGCGCCUGCGACGUGGCGAGGUCAGAGCGACGUAUCGCUACAGAUGUCGGCGGUCAGGUCCUGGCCUGCGUGGCGUCGCGGCGGCAUGCGAAGCGGCUGUUGGUGGGUAGAGCUUGGGGCGGGGGCCGUGCUCCCCGACGACCGAGUCGGCGCACUGCUGUACCGUGUGCGUCUACGGCUGCUUCGCACCAGUCGACGGGCGCCCGUGGCAGGAGGGGCCGGAGGUGCGUGUGUGUGUGCGUCUGCGGACGUAUUCGUCUCUCUACUUUGCCUGCCUCUCCGUUUUGUCUCGCGCGAUGGUGUUGGUGUCGACACCGCGGCACGUACGCGUGACAAAUCCCAACAC
rnacentral:misc_RNA from 1 species